UGGGGAAUAUUGCACAAUGGGCGCAAGCCUGAUGCAGCCAUGCCGCGUGUGUGAAGAAGGCCUUCGGGUUGUAAAGCACUUUCAGCGAGGAGGAAGGUGGUGGACUUAAUACGUUCAUCAAUUGACGUUACUCGCAGAAGAAGCACCGGCUAACUCCGUGCCAGCAGCCGCGGUAAUACGGAGGGUGCAAGCGUUAAUCGGAAUUACUGGGCGUAAAGCGCACGCAGGCGGUUUGUUAAGUCAGAUGUGAAAUCCCCGGGCUCAACCUGGGAACUGCAUUUGAAACUGGCAAGCUAGAGUCUCGUAGAGGGGGGUAGAAUUCCAGGUGUAGCGGUGAAAUGCGUAGAGAUCUGGAGGAAUACCGGUGGCGAAGGCGGCCCCCCUGGACGAAGACUGACGCUCAGGUGCGAAAGCGUGGGGCAGCAAACAGGAUUAGAUACCCUGGUAGUCCACGCUGUAAACGAUGUCGAUUUGGAGGUUGUGCCCUUGAGGCGUGGCUUCCGGAGCUAACGCGUUAAAUCGACCGCCUGGGGAGUACGG
rnacentral:rRNA from 1 species